UACGUGGGUGGCAAGCGUUGUCUGGAUUUAUUGGGCGUAAAGCGAGCGCAGGCGGUUCCUUAAGUCUGAUGUGAAAGCCCACGGCUCAACCGUGGAAGGUCAUUGGAAACUGGGGAACUUGAGUGCAGAAGAGGAGAGUGGAAUUCCAUGUGUAGCGGUGAAAUGCGUAGAUAUAUGGAGGAACACCAGUGGCGAAGGCGACUCUCUGGUCUGUAACUGACGCUGAGGCUCGAAAGCGUGGGGAGCAAACAGGA
rnacentral:rRNA from 1 species